GUGGUAGCUGGCAAGGGCAAGACAGUUUCUCCUCCUCUUCCCUCCCCUCUUCCUCCCUUCCUCCUCAUGCUCCCUUCCUCCUCUUCCUCCCCGCCUGCUCUUCUUUGAGACAAGGUCUCACUGUGUAGUCUUGACUGGUUUGGCACUCGCUAUGUAGUCUGACCUGGAACUCACAGAGAUCUACCAGGCUCUUCCCAAAUGCUGGAAUCAAAGACAUGCACCCGCCACCCUGGCCUCUCCUACUUUCUUCUUCUACCUCACCCCUUUGGCACCCUUUGCCUUGCCUACACAUGCUUUUUUCCUGCCCCUGGCGCCCAGAUUCUCCUGUUCUCUCUUUAAAUAUUGUUCAAAACUCCUGCAUAUCACACUGGCAACCCACAGCACCGUGGAUAUGUUUGCGCCUAGAUACUUGACACCGCCUUCCAACGCAUCUAGGCUGUCAAAAUGUAAGCAACAGGCAGUCCUACAGUCCCACACUUGGAAAGCUGAGGCAGUGCAACGAGUUUGAGGCCAGCCUGGUCUAUGGAGAAAACCAACCUUUAUCUUAAUCAAAACAAAGCAAAACCUGUAGUCCAUGGAAAUCAAGGAAAGGAAGAAAAUGAAAUUUUGGGGUAUGUGUACCCACACAUAACAAAAUUGUUCAGAAUUUGACAACCAAGAAAAACUUCAUGCUACCAAAUAAGAUAAAUUGUGGGACACUUGUCCAUGAAAAUCCUUUCCCAGGAACACCUCACCUUAUUAUCUGCCAUUGUCUGGGUUCAAAGUAAUGUUAAAAACAAAAAAAAGUAGGGUGUGGUAGUCCUCAGCUGUAAUCUCAGUACUCUGCUUGUGGGAGCUGGAAGCAAGGGAAUCAGGAGUUUAACGUCAGUCUCAGCUACUUAGCAAGUUCAAAACCAGCCUGGACUACCUGAGACCAUGUCAAACCAUGUCAAAACCAAAUCAAGAAAAACUUCCUGUUCUUAAGGCACAUGGAAUAAGAAUGCACCAUAUGACUAAGAUUGGGAUUUUGAAUAGACCAAAGCAACCUGGAGGGUUCUGGAAACUGCAUGAAUAUACCUUAAGUUAAGUUGAAGUAAGGGGAGAAGUGUCAGUGUUCAGACAAGGGACGAGCCUGGCCUAUGAGUUAACAAGACCCUCAGGAAGCUUGUCCGGGUGGCCCCCACACAAUGGAUGCUCAUCAUUACUGGCUGCUACACAUUGGGAAGUCACAGGAAUUGAGAUAACCGGACUUGAGAGUGUUGUGCAUGCGGCAGGUCCUGACGACUUCCCUCACAAGACUCCCACGGGGCAAUGUGUGUGCAGCUCUUAACACCCACUUCCUUUUCUGCAGAAACGCCCUCUCUUCUAAUGCUGCCGACCUAGACACUCUCUCCUCUCUACCAGAGCUAACUGCCCGCUCUGCUGCCUCAACCGCAUCCCACGUACUUCCUCAAAUCCCUACAGCCCACUUUGGAGCCUUCUCUGCUGGAUCGGGAUCAGGAUAGGGGGUCUCAGAGUGCUCCUGGGGACACUCCCUGCAGGGUGUGGUGACAACGAUCUGAGCUGGCAGGCCCAGCAGGGGCCCACGUGAGCUGUUCCCCUGCUCGCCCUUGGCAGUUCUCAGACGGGUGCAGCGGGGCUGGGGCUAGGGAGUGCCUGGGAACAGUCAGUGUGUGCCUGGCCUGGCGCUGUGCCUUGCAGCUGACGGGAGGGUGGGGUCGCCCUGCCCUGCUGGGAGCUGCUGACCGGAAAGUGAUUGGGGAUGGGAGCCCCUAGGCUUUUUCCGCUCAGAGUCUGGGGACCUUGAGUGUGAGGACAGCAUUGCUAUCUGGGAGCAGGGAGAGACUCAAAGACACUUUUCAAGGCUCUUUUCUGUCUGCAACCUGCCCUGUGACCUUUCUUAAGUCCGUUGAUCUGAGGCCUUAGUUUCCUCAAUUGUCCUGAGGGGGAUGAGGCCUGAAAGAGGCCAAGAAGGAAACACAUGUCAGGUCACAUUACAUUCACUCCUUGUCUAGUGAGUAUUUAGGAUCCCCGACCAUGUCCUCAUCCUGGGGUAUGGUGCCUAGUGCCAACAUUGUGCAAGUUGGGUGCUCAGGGAGUGGGCAGCGAGCAGGCUUGGCCUCAUUGUCCUCACUGGACUACAUAUUGGCUACAAAGGUCAUGAGAAGAGGCUAGGUCUAUGACGUACUUCCUGUAGUCCCUGGCACAGAAUGGGUUCCUAACCCAAGCUACAGGCUUCCGGCUGGCUGCAUAGAGGGUUUGGAGACAGCUGAUCCUCUGCAAGCAGCCUGGUCUGGAGAAGUGGAAACAGACCUCACAAGCUGGGUGUGCACAGUACAGAGCAGGGCUCCGUUUCCAUGCUGCUGGCUAGCCAAGAAGGAAUGCGAUUACUCAUUAAGCACACUCCCAUUGAUCCCUGCCUUAGCAAAGCUUCUCAGACUUGCUUUCAAAUCUCUAGUCCAACCCCUGCUUUAAAAAAAAAAAAAGGCCCGGUGGACGGUUCAUAGAUGUUUCCCCCUGAUUCACACUUUCUAAUGAAUAAGAUUGUAAACAGUAUUGGCCUUCAUCAGUGGUGAUUAGUAUAUCCGAAUAACUUGGGGAUUAAGUUACCAGCAGAGUUAUUAUAACCAGAUAGUCUUCAACUGUUUCUGUGACUCUCGCCUCAAAGCCUGGAAAACAUCCCUAUUUUGUGCCUUAGCAAUAAUGUAAAACAUACUGCUGCCCCUGUUGCCACUAGGUGGUCCUUAACAGCUGUUUCUAUUUUAAUGUUGUAGACUCCUGUUUUGACCUUAGCUUCACCUUUUUUUUUUCCCUGUCAGUAGCCACUUUAAGGUCCUGUUGCUACAAGAAUUAAGGGAAAACCCAUUAGCAGUGAGCUACAACCACACCCCUGACUUCUGCAGAAUGUUGAGUAAAUCAAACUUCUGUUCUUUCUGGAAAAAACCUGCAGCUGAAACUGGGAUCAGGGAAGGAAACCCAGCUGGAUUUUGCAUCUGCCUGCCCGCCACUGGUAGUUUCUGUUUAUGAUCUGUUUAUCAUACAACAUAUUUUGCCAGGAUGUGACUAGCUUGUCUAAGUCUAGAGUGACAUACGCUGUGUGGUGCCACACAUCUAAAAUACACAAGAACCACUAGUUGAUCCUAACCUUCUUGCUUAAUGUUUGUUGAAGUUAGUGGUCUGUUCACAUAUAUUAACAGUCCCUUGUUAGACAAGAGUAGCUAUUUGGUUAAUGUUAUUUAUGAAUAGUAACUUAAAAAUAAGUAAAACAUGAAGAAUUUGCAGGUUCAACAUUUUCAUUUAGUCAUUUUUUUUUCUAGUUCAGUCUUUUAAAAAGUUGGUGAGUUUAGUUGAUACUGGUAUAAAAAGCCAGUUGUCUGUCUCUGGUCUCAUUUCAGUCCUCCACACACUGUUUUAGCACGUUAUUAUUCACAUUCAUGGAGAAUGUUCUGUGUGUGUAUAUGUGUGUGUGUGUGUGUGAUCUCCAUAUAUGUAUAUAUCACUCCAGUUAGUGUGCGAUAUAUGUACAUGUAUAGCUAUAUCUACAUAAUCGUAUCAAUCACUCCUUGAGCACUCCUCCCUGCUUUCUGUAGUAUUGGGGAUUGAACCCAGGACCUCACUAGGCUACUGAACCACACUCCCAACCCAUUACUGUUUCUAAAAGAUUCUUCCUGUAAAGUUAUGCUGUGCCCCACCUCCUCCUUGUGCUUGGUAUUAAGGUCAGGGCCUUGCUAGGCAACAACUCUAUUAUUGAGUACAUCUCCAGUAGCUUUUACUUUUUAAUUAUGUUGUAAGUCUUGGUAAUUAUAAUGUUUAAGAAACACAAUUUGCUUUGUUUUUUGUUGUUUUUCUUUAAAGAAAAUUGACAGUGUUUUACAAAAACCAUUAAUUUUUAUUUGAAUAAGAGGAUGG